rnacentral:sRNA from 1 species
AGCUGGCCAAGACGGAAGACUAAUGUUAUUGUACAUGGGCUGUUACCCUGCCAGCCCUUCCUCACAGAUUUGCUUUCUCUCUCUGUCCGUCUUCCCCCGCGACCUCUUCCCCUUUUACCCCUUUCAUCUCUUCCUUCUCUUUCGCUUUCUUCUUCUGUCUUCGGAUUCUGCUGACUGUUUGCUCAGGUGGACAGUGACACCAUUUGGAAUGAGCUGCACUCGUCCGGUGCUGCACGCAUGGCUGUUGGCUGUGUCAUCGAGCUGGCUUCCAAAGUGGCCUCAGGAGAGCUGAAGAAUGGGUUUGCUGUUGUGAGGCCCCCUGGCCAUCACGCUGAAGAAUCCACAGCCAUGGGGUUCUGCUUUUUUAAUUCAGUUGCAAUUACCGCCAAAUACUUGAGAGACCAACUAAAUAUAAGCAAGAUAUUGAUUGUAGAUCUGGAUGUUCACCAUGGAAACGGUACCCAGCAGGCCUUUUAUGCUGACCCCAGCAUCCUGUACAUUUCACUCCAUCGCUAUGAUGAAGGGAACUUUUUCCCUGGCAGUGGAGCCCCAGAUGAGGUUGGAACAGGCCUUGGAGAAGGGUACAAUAUAAAUAUUGCCUGGACAGGUGGCCUUGAUCCUCCCAUGGGAGAUGUUGAGUACCUUGAAGCAUUCAGGACCAUCGUGAAGCCUGUGGCCAAAGAGUUUGAUCCAGACAUGGUCUUAGUAUCUGCUGGAUUUGAUGCAUUGGAAGGCCACACCCCUCCUCUAGGAGGGUACAAAGUGACGGCAAAAUGUUUUGGUCAUUUGACGAAGCAAUUGAUGACAUUGGCUGAUGGACGUGUGGUGUUGGCUCUGGAAGGAGGACAUGAUCUCACAGCCAUCUGUGAUGCAUCAGAAGCCUGUGUAAAUGCCCUUCUAGGAAAUGAGCUGGAGCCACUUGCAGAAGAUAUUCUCCACCAAAGCCCGAAUAUGAAUGCUGUUAUUUCUUUACAGAAGAUCAUUGAAAUUCAAAGCAAGUAUUGGAAGUCAGUAAGGAUGGUGGCUGUGCCAAGGGGCUGUGCUCUGGCUGGUGCUCAGUUGCAAGAGGAGACAGAGACCGUUUCUGCCCUGGCCUCCCUAACAGUGGAUGUGGAACAGCCCUUUGCUCAGGAAGACAGCAGAACUGCUGGUGAGCCUAUGGAAGAGGAGCCAGCCUUGUGAAGUGCCAAGUCCCCCUCUGAUAUUUCCUGUGUGUGACAUCAUUGUGUAUCCCCUAACCCCAGCACCCUCAGACAUGUCUUGUCUGCUGCCUGGGUGGCACAGAUUCAAUGGAACAUAAACACUGGGCACAAAAUUCUGAACAGCAGCUUCACUUGUUCUUUGGAUGGACUUGAAAGGGCAUUAAAGAUUCCUUAAACGUAACCGCUGUGAUUCUAGAGUUACAGUAAACCACGAUUGGAAGAAACUGCUUCCAGCAUGCUUUUAAUAUGCUGGGUGACCCACUCCUAGACACCAAGUUUGAACUAGAAACAUUCAGUACAGCACUAGAUAUUGUUAAUUUCAGAAGCUAUGACAGCCAGUGAAAUUUUGGGCAAAACCUGAGACAUAUUCAUUCCUGACAUUCUGAUCAGCUUUUUUUGGGGUAAUUUUUUUUUUUCAAACAAACAGUCUUAACUUGUUUACAAGAUUUGCUUUUAGCUAUGAACAGAUCGUAAUUCCACCCAGAAUGUAAUGUUUCUUGUUUGUUUGUUUGUUUUGUUUUGUUAGGUUUUUUAUCUCAACUUUAACACACAGUUCAACUGUUCCUAGUAAAAGUUCAAGAUGGAGGAAAUAGCAUGAGGCUUUUUUCAGUGGAAUAAACCACACCGUAUCUAGAAGUCCAAUGCCAAAGGAACCUCACACACUGUUUGUAAUGGUGCAAUAUUUGAUAUCACUUUUUUUUAAACGUCCCCAACAUCUUUGUGUUCUCACACACAGGCGAUUUGCAAUUUUGCAAUUGUGUUGGAGAAUGAAGUCCCCCCACCUCCCAGCCCCACAUACAUCCCUUGUUCUCAUGACAGUAGGUCUGAGCAAAUGUUCCACCAAGCAUUUUCAGUGUCUUUGAAAAGCACGUAACUUUUCAAAGGUGGUCUUAAUUUGUUGCAUAUCUAUCAAGGACUUAUUCACUCACCUUUCCUUUUCUGCCCUCUAUCAAUUUCUUUCUUCUUACCUUUCAUCAUUCAUUCCUUCCUUUAGAAAAACUGAAGAUUACCCAUAAUCGCCUCUAUUACUUGAGGGCCUUGACUAUUUAGUUUAUUUUGUUUACUUUCCAGGUUAACACAGUUGUUUUGUCUGAUUGCAUUUUAUUAACUGUGAAGCCGUUGAGAUGAAUAUCACUUAAGCAACGUUGCUAAAUUUUCUGUGUUUGAAAUAUGUUAAUGAAGGCACUGCUUAUUUGUAGUCACCUUGAAUUGACUUAACCUGGAAGCUGUGCCUUCAUGUG